rnacentral:tRNA from 1 species
GCCGGGGUAGCUCAGUUCAGGUAGACGGUGUAAGGCGCCACGUGCGCGCCGGGCCGUCAGCGCCAGGCUGUUAACCUGGUGGUCGCAGGUUCGAGUCCUGCCCCCGGCGCCA